CCUACGGGUGGCUGCAGUGGGGAAUUUUGGACAAUGGGGGCAACCCUGAUCCAGCCAUGCCGCGUGCGGGAAGAAGGCCUUCGGGUUGUAAACCGCUUUUGUCGGGGAAGAAAUCCUCUGGGCUAAUACCUCGGGGGCAUGACGGUACCGGAGAAUAAGCACCGGCUAACUACGUGCCAGCAGCCGCGGUAAUACGUAGGGUGCAAGCGUUAAUCGGAAUUACGGGGAGUAGAGCGUGCAAAACAGGUCUGAAAUCCCCGGGCUCAACCUGGGAACUGCAUUUGUGACUGCAAGGCUGGAGUGCGGCAGAGGGGGAUGGAAUUCCGCGUGUAGCAGUGAAAUGCGUAGAUAUGCGGAGGAACACCGAUGGCGAAGGCAAUCCCCUGGGCCUGCACUGACGCUCAUGCACGAAAGCGUGGGGAGCAAACAGGAUUAGAUACCCUUGUAGUC
rnacentral:rRNA from 1 species